AGUCUAACAUGUGUGCGAGUCAUUGGGCGCACUAAACCCAAAGGCGUAAUGAAAGUGAAAGGGGGGCGUCCCGGAGUCCUUGUGGCUCCGGCUGGCGCCCUCCGGGGCCGAUCCUUGACUGUUUGAUGCCGCUUGGGUUUAUCCCAUACCAAAGCGGGGCUAAAGGGAUAAUGCUAGGCGGGGUGAGUUCCUUUCCCCCGUCCAUCUCUGGCCUCGUGGGUACCCGGCGCGCUCUAAAUCGACGGUCCGGACUCUCUUUACGGGGAGUUCGCCUGUACGCAGGGGGGCGCAGGCCCGGGACUUGCCAUUUGACGCUGUUGCGCGAAUCUGUUGUUGACCUCACUGGCUUUGCUUGGGCUCUCGGUUGGUGCGGUGCGUCUGGGCGGGCUUUGGGUGGGGGCUUCGGCUUCUGCCCGGGUUCGUCCGGCGCGUCCGUGCCUUCCGAUCCUGCUCUGUCCGGAGUGGCCUAGCGUGCGUGCUGUCGGCAAGUACCAUGAGCAGACAUGUUGGGACCCGAAAGAUGGUGAACUAUGCCUGGCCAGGAUGAAGCCAGAGGAAACUCUGGUGGAGGUCCGUAGCAAUUCUGACGUGCAAAUCGAUUGUCAGAGCUGGGUAUAGGGGCGAAAGACUAAUCGAACCAUCUA
rnacentral:rRNA from 1 species